GGCUCAAUGGUCUAGUAGUAUGAUUCGCGCUUCGGGGUUCUUCCCAGUGAUUACAAAAUCAUUCAUAUGUGCGAGGUCCCGGGUUCAACUCCCGGUUGAGCCC